CCCCUGGUGGUCUAGUGGUUAGGAUGCGGCGCUCUCACCGCCGCGGCCCGGGGUCGAUUCCCACUCAGGGGA
rnacentral:tRNA from 1 species